rnacentral:rRNA from 1 species
CAGUCGCCACGGGAAUACAGAGGGUGCGAGCGUUAAUCGGAUUUACUGGGCGUAAAGCGUGCGUAGGCGGCUUUUUAAGUCGGAUGUGAAAUCCCUGAGCUUAACUUAGGAAUUGCAUUCGAUACUGGGAAGCUAGAGUAUGGGAGAGGAUGGUAGAAUUCCAGGUGUAGCGGUGAAAUGCGUAGAGAUCUGGAGGAAUACCGAUGGCGAAGGCAGUUAUCUGGCCUAAUACUGACGCUGAGGUACGAAAGCAUGGGGAGCAAACAGGAUUAGAUACCCCUGUAGUCCCUGUCUCUUAUAU